rnacentral:lncRNA from 1 species
UUUUGAGUUAUGAGAGUUGCAGAAAUGGGAGUUCCUUACAGUCCAAAGCGCCCCGCGACUUAACUUCGCAAUGUUUUGGACUGAAGGGAGCUCCUACUUCUUCACUUUCUCCAUUUUAUGUCUUCAUUUCUAUAAGCUCAAAGACUUGAAAUUAAAUGUGGUUAGUGAUUUAUACCAUGAUGCUUGAAGAACAAGUAAUAUAGUGUCAGUAAGUUUAGAUUUUCAAUUCUUUACCAUUUUAACUCAUACCCCUUAAUCAUGUUGCUUUGUGCCUUACCAAUUCCAUCAAAAGAGACUAAUAUGUAUUAACCAAAUGAUUCAUCACAUAUUUCUAAGACUUGUAUUUCUUUGCUUCUUUGUUUAUGCUUUGAGAUAUUCAGGCCAAUAUUGCUUCAUUUUCUUUUAUAUUUUGAUUUUGAUGCAGUUCCUGUUUCCCCUCCCCACCUUUAACUCAGUGUUUUAAAUUAUAUCCCUCAAUAAUAAUUGUGGCCGUAAUAUUGUGGUUCCGGGAGUGUCCGCAACGGGCAUCGUGUAAGCUGCAUUUUCCACAGGACAACUCCUGUGCUUUACUUUUAACAUUGCAAAAUAUAUUCUGUUCAGAGAACAAAGUUGUUCAAAAGUUGUGUAGAAUAAUAGUUCACAAAACAUUUUCGAUUCUAAAUCCAUUUAUCUCUUCAAAUACAGGUCUGAAUUGCUAAAGGAAAAUUAUUCUGUCUCACUCAUGCAGUGGAGAAAAUCCAGAUUUUUAAGGUACAAAUCCAGCCCACUAGACUCUUAAAGCGAUCAAUUGAUAUUCAGUCGAGUCGAGAAUUCUCAACUUAGGUCUCGAGGAUUUGAUUACAUGAUCCCUAGAGCACAAGUAAGCAACCUUACUUUUGUGCGGAGACUCACAUAUUCAAUACUACCACAAAUUAUCAUCUUCAUGUUUUGACUUCUCUUUCUUUCUUAAUUAACCUUAAAGGCUUCUCUUUCACAAAGUAACUAACAUAACCGUUGCAAAUAGCUCACAGUUUAUGAAUAUUCAAUUUUGUCACGAAAUUAUCAUGUUCUUGUUUUGACUUCUCUUUCUUUCUAAAAUUAACUUUGAAAACUUGUCUUCUUGUGACAUUUAAAUACCUCAUCUUCUGUCUGAGACAGUACAGUAUGACCUUAGAAUUAGAUUUAGUAUGUAUAUUUAGUAAGAAAAUAUAAUAAUAGUACAUGGUUAAGCUUGCCAGAGUUUUACAUUGACACUAUUUUCUGUUUUAAAAUUCUUUGAUUUUUCAAUUCUGUUAGAGCUGCUGGUGGAAUUAUUGCAAUGAACCACCCCACAUUCACAAAUGAAAUGAAUGAAAGAGAAAACUAAAAUAAAAAAUUGAUUGAAUUAAACCGUAUCAAUAUAUACUAUAGGUAUAUGAUCAUUUUUUGAAGUAUGUAUGCUUCUUAAAUUGCUACUGAUGGUUGGAGAUGACCAAAAAAACCUGACUGGUGUAGGCAUGAAAAUACCCCUAAUGGGUACUGCAAUAAUAGCUUAGAGAUGAAAAUGACUUUUAUAAUAUUAGUUUCAUACCUAUUUGCAUAUUUAUAAAUUUAUUUUUUAAUUAAAUACUUUUAUAUAUUAUAUAUUUUAAGAUUAUAUAUUUUUUACUUUAUUAUUAUUUCAUAAUAAAUUUUAGUGUUUGGACAAUAAUCAUAAAUUUAUCAUAUACAUACUUUAUUAUUUAUAUAUAAUUAUUUUUAUGUAUUGAUUAUUAUAAAAUAUAAAUAAAAUUGAAAAAUCAUUGAGUAUCCACAUAUACUCACUACCAAUACCAUACCCCAAAUAGUGCAAAUAUAGACAUGGGUAAGCAAUCCUAUACAUCCCAGCCUCUUAUCAUUCUUAAUCGGGGUCUAACAUAUCUAAUAGUAAAAUCCUAUCUAAAUUUGAUUUUUACAAUUUGGAAGAUAUGAUUAAAUUUUUGCAGGAGUGCAUGUAUUGAGAGAUGAUUGUCUAAGGUGCUCAUUUGAGUCCUUUUCUCCCUAAAUUAUAGAAGUCAACCCUCAAAUUGUCUAAGGAGAAUAGAUUUAAUGGAGUUUAGCCUAAUUAGUAGAGGCAGAUGGAAACCAAGAUAAAUCAUAUAUGAAAUAAUUAGAAAAGAUUUAGAGAUUAGUAUUUUGUCAAUAAUUAUGACUUAUGAUAAAACAUUAUGAUGUCAUUCAAUCCAUAUAACUAAUUAUACGUAAUGAGAUUAAAGUUUGGUUGCUAGAAGAAAUACAUGGUUCUACUUCAAGUGGCAACAUGUUAUUGUGUGGUGGUUGAGCUUGUAGAAUCAAGUCAAUAUGUUCUAAGAAGAAAUAUUAUAAUAUCAUCCAUCAAUCUCAUAAGUAUUAUACUAGAUCCUAUCAAUCAAAUCACUUUUUGUGAUGGAGGGUUUUAUGAUGAAUCCAUUGCUUCUAUAUAACUUACUCUCAACCCUCUCUUUUUUUAACAGAUUGAGAACCCUUUUUUUUACUUAAAAAGAGGUCAAUAGAUAUUGGAUGAUGCAUGUACACAUAAAAAUAGACAAAUAUAGUAAGACAUUAUCACUUCUAAAGUCAUUCUUCUUUUCAAAGUUUUCAUUUCAUGUAACUUAUAUGGUUGUUUUAGUGAUCUCUUUAUGAAUUGAUUUUUUUUUGAAGAUAAUGAAUGAAAUAAAAGGACUUGAAGUCGUAAAAUACAAUUAUAAAAUUACUCCUAAGUCUUCUAUUUCUCUCUUUUGAUGUAAAAAUCAACUCUCAUACAAAUCCUAAAACCAUUUAAUAGAUUUAAGCAAUAAAAAGUCUUCAAACGACUCUUGACAGAUAUAACAUUUCAACCACUUCCAUAGUUUGAUACACACAUACGUAUGCAUUGCAUAUUGAGAAAGGGUGAUAAUUGUAAUAUCUAGUUAUAUACCAAAAAAAUAAUAGUCAGUCAAUGCUUCAUUACAUUAUUCUUCCACUUGUAAGGUUUUCAGCUCAGAACUCAAACACAACUGCAUCUAAUGCAAUUACUUACUGAAGUUCUCAAGUGUGCUGAUCAUUGAUUGGAAAAAAAAACCAAAG